GAUGAACGCUGGCGGCGUGCCUAAUACAUGCAAGUCGAGCGAACGGACGAGAAGCUUGCUUUUCUGAUGUUAGCGGCGGACGGGUGAGUAACACGUGGAUAACCUACCUAUAAGACUGGGAUAACUUCGGGAAACCGGAGCUAAUACCGGAUAAUAUUUUGAACCGCAUGGUUCAAAAGUGAAAGACGGUCUUGCUGUCACUUAUAGAUGGAUCCGCGCUGCAUUACCUAGUUGGUAAGGUAACGGCUUACCAAGGCAACGAUGCAUAGCCGACCUGAGAGGGUGAUCGGCCACACUGGAACUGAGACACGGUCCAGACUCCUACGGGAGGCAGCAGUAGGGAAUCUUCCGCAAUGGGCGAAAGCCUGACGGAGCAACGCCGCGUGAGUGAUGAAGGUCUUCGGAUCGUAAAACUCUGUUAUUAGGGAAGAACAUAUGUGUAAGUAACUGUGCACAUCUUGACGGUACCUAAUCAGAAAGCCACGGCUAACUACGCG
rnacentral:rRNA from 1 species